CAAACAUGAUGAUCAAUCUAAUUCAGUGCUACCUGAUCAGCUGAAACAAUUCUAUGACAGAAGGGUCAUUCAAGAUCCAGCUCAGCUCGGAGUACUCUACUCGAACUCCUAUCGAAAUAAGGACGGUCCCAACAAUAGAAGCUUAAUGUUUUGGGAGAGGAAACCCCCACCGGGCUCUAUCCGAGGCACCUUUGAAUUCACAAGAGCAGAUAUAGAAACACUGAGGCAAUUGUUAAAGGCUAAAUUGGCAGAGCAGAAACAAGAAGAUAUUCGUUCAGUUCAUGUGUCAACUUUCACUCUAGCUUGUGCCUAUACAUGGGUUUGCAUAGUCAAGGCAGAGGAAAUAAACAGUGACCAAACACGUCUGGCUUUUAACGUGGACUGCAGGUCUCGCUUGGAUCCUCCUAUAUCUCCAAACUAUUUUGGGAACUGCAUAGCGGGACGUACAGCAGUUGCCGAAACAAAAGCCUUGUUUGGAGAAGAUGGGUUGGUUGUGGCUGUGAACACAAUCAGUGAAGCUAUAAAGAGUUUGGAGAAGGGGGUGUUGGAUGGGGCAGAGAAUUGGGUUUCAAGGUUGUUUGCUGUGACUAGUGAGAGAAUGCUUACGCUUGCCGGUUCAUAUCGGUUUGGUGUUUAUGAGACUGAUUUUGGAUGGGGAAGACCAAAGAAGGUUGAGAUUGUUUCCAUAGAUAGAACCAGAGCUAUCUCCUUUUCAGAUGCCAAGACUGAUGCUGGGGUUGUUGAUGUUGGGUUGGUCUUAGACAAACAUAGCAUGCAGGUUUUUGCUUCUCUAUUUGCUAAAGGUCUUCAAAACCCUUGAAGCUUGAAGCCUCGUCAAUAUACUAGUAUGCUUGGAUUCAACAGCAUUUUCUUUCUCCACUUUAUAUUUUGGGGAGUAAUAAUUUCGGGGUUCCCUUUGUGAAAAUCAUAUGCAAGCUAUUGCUUCUGCGUUUGCUAAAGGGCUUCACGACCUUUGAAUCCACGCAUAAAAUUGGUCUUAAUUUGUUGAAGGAAGAGCCGUAGAACAACUGUUUCUCUUUUAUUUUUUUCUUUGAUACAAACGAUAGUAUAAAUGAUUAUAAAUUAGUCUAAUUUAUAAAAAUGGAACUCGAACUUAGUGCAAGUCAAUUUGUCGAAGAACAAGCUGCAACAACAUGUGUGACUCAGAUUCGCUUGUCUCCCUAUCCAAUUCUCAAUGAAUAAAGAAGAAGUUGACGACUCAUUACAGUGGGACUUGUUCAUAAUAUCAAAGUACUUGACAACUCAUUAUGCCAACUUUUAUUACAAACCAAUGUCGCACAUAAUGUUCAGUGUUGAACCCUUGGGCCUGUAAUGGUGAGGCCCAAAAGCAAUGUCGGCCUUGGUCAUAACUGUGCGUCAACAAGCCCCCCAUGUCCGCAGUCUAAGAGUAGUUCUUUGGCUGGGGACUUUACAAGUCCAUAGAAAGGUUUGGCGAAGCCGAGUAGUUGUCGUAUGUUGAUAUCUUGCUCAAGCCAGCUUUAGAGGCAAGUCGUGCUUGGUGCUAGGUGGUAUUUGGUGCUGGACAAAUGAGGAGCAGUCAUGGAGAAUUUAUUCAUCCCGAGCAGAGCACCAUAGAGUUUGUGAUAGUCAUCACUGGGCAAUAAUGGCCUCAGUGUGGUCCGAGCCAUAAUGCCUCGGUGAAGUGGAGGAGUCAUGGAGUGAGAACCAUCCCUACCGGGAAUGGCCUAGGUGGUUGUGGCUGUGAACGCAAUCAGGUAAGCUAUAAAGAGUUUGGAGAAGGGGGUGUUGGAUGGGGCAGAGAAUUGGGUUUCAAGGUUGUUUGCUGUGACUAGUGAGAGAAUGCUUACGCUUGCCGGUUCACAUCGGUUUGGUGUUUCUGAGACUAAUUUUGGAUGGGGAAGACCAAAGAAGGUUGAGAUCGUUUCCAUAGAUAGAACCAGAGCUAUCUCCUUUUCAGAUGCCAAGACUGAUGCUGGGGUUGUUAAUGUUGGGUUGGUCUUAGACAAACAUAACAUGCAGGUUUUUGCUUCUCUAUUUGCUAACAUCGCCUUUUCUUCUAGAAAGAUUCAGGCAAUCAGUGAUGACUUUGAUGGCAAAGAAGAAGCAACAAGAUCACUCAGUUACAUGGGUUUGCUCACUCAAGGCAGAUGAAAUAAAAGCAACAUUCAAUAUCCCAGCUACUAUCACAACCACAAAAUGAAAUAAUGCAUCCAACUUACUCAACCAAUAUUCAAUAUCCCAGCUACUUUCAGUUUUGCAAAAAAUAAUGCUUCCAACUAACUCAACCAAAAUAAUUGCAUCGAAUUAAUGAUGUUCCUGGAAUAUUGAUACAAAAUAAAUCAGGUGUUAAAAAAUAUUUAAUAUCUAAAUAUUUUCUAUGAUAACAAAAACUCAUCGUCACAAUCAUGGUGAUUAUUCAAAAGGUGUAACAUUCCUGACCCAAUAUAUAUAGAUAGUUUUGAUAAAAUAAAAAAAUCUAGUCCUAGUCUAAGCAUACACCAAACACAGGAUAACUAUUAUCCAACUUAGACCAAGCCAAGCCAAACCAAGACGUCUCUAAACAUAGUUCAUGUCAAGACAAUCAUGUGUAACAAACGAGGUUUUAAUAUAUAAGCCUUGACAGAAUUGAUUACCAAUCCAGUGGUGACAUUUCCGGUACAGUGAUACCCCACUUCUAAAACUAGAAAAUGAUGAUAUACCAAGCCAGGCUUCUAUUGUGUGGCGUGGCCUGAUAUCAGCCCCAUUUUGUAUUUCACUAACUACACGGUGCUGCAUGCGACAACUCAGCAACGACUUUAGUUUUAUCUUGCAACUUUUGAUCAUUCGGUGUUUGCCUUAUAUUUGUCUCCCUUUCCUAUUUGGGUGUGCUAGCAACUUUGUGACCGACAAGAAGAGUUCGUAAGUUUCUCUUCUCUUCUUCUUGUUUCCUCUUGUUGUUUAUGAGUUGCUUGGUACGUUUGUUUUAGAUCUCUUUUGAUAAUUGUUUGCGAGCAAGAAUCUGAGUAUUAUUAUUGGCUCAAAUGUUUGAGAGUAUAUUGGGUGUAUUGGCUCAAAUGAUAGACUAAAGUCGAACGAGUAUAAAUCACUUGGACACAUUAUUGGUUUAUUUAUAUUUGUCAAAUUUUGCAUCUGCUUGAUAUAGGUCACAUAUAUUCUACGCCUCCGUACAACACUAAGCACUUGGACAGAUUCCACCUGACCUGUCUAGUAGUAGUGAUAAAAGGAGGGCUAAAGGAUCCAUCUCCAUUUGGCAAUGGCAGAACCAACAAGCUCGGUUGAAGUAGUUGAAGUUUGCAGGGUGGCUCCUCCUCCUCCACCCUCACCCGGUGCAUUCGCGUCCCCGAGCUCCCUUCCCCUUACCUUCUUCGACAUCCGUUGGUUAAGAUUUGCGCCGGUCCAGAACCUUUAUUUCUACCAAAUGCCUACUUCCUCUACAACACCGCUCUUCUUUGAUUCCAUACUUGUCCCAAAACUCAAAGCCUCACUCUCUAACACCCUCCAGCACUUUCUACCUUUGGCAGGAAAUCUCACUUGGCCUCAAGACUCCCAAAAACCUGUCCUUAACUAUGUCCAAGGCGACACCGUUUCGCUCACAAUAGCAGAGUCUGGUGCUGAGUUCUACCAUCUUUCAAGUGGUGACUUUGUUGAAGCCAGAGAGUACCAUCCUCUUGUACCCCGAUUGGAAGCGUCUCUUGAACAAGCUGCAGUGAUGGCAUUGCAAAUCACUGUCUUUCCCAACUGUGGCUUUUCGAUUGGAACUUCCUUUAACCAUGCAGUCCUAGAUGGCAAGAGUAUGACUUUUUUUGUAAAAUCAUGGGCUCACAUUUGCAAACAUGAUGAUCAAUCUAAUUCAGUGCUACCUGAUGAGCUGAAACAAUUUUAUGACAGAGUCAUUCAGGAUCCAGCUGAGCUUGGAACAAUCUACUCGAACGACUAUCGAAAUAAGGACGGUCCCGACAAUAGGAGCUUAAUGUUUUGGGAGAUGAAACCACCACCAGACUCAAUCCGAGGCACCUUUGAAUUCACACGAGCAGAUACAGAAACACUGAGGCAAUCGUUCAAUGCUAAAAUGGCAGAGCAGAAACCAGUUCAUGUGUCAACUUUCACUCUAGCUUGUGCCUAUACAUGGGUUUGCGUAGUCAAAGCAGAGGACAUAAAAGCUGACAAAGCACGUCUGGUCUUUAGCAUGGACUGCAGGUCUCGCUUGGACCCUCCUAUACCUGCAAACUAUUUUGGAAACUGCGUAGCAGGAUGUAUGAUAGUUGUCGAAACGAAAGGCUUGCUUGGAGAAGAUGGGUUGGUUGUCGCCGUGAAUGCAAUUAGUGAAGCUAUAGAAAGAUUGAAGAAGGGGGUUUUGGAUGGGGCAGAGACUUGGGUUUCAAGGUUGUUUGCUGUGAGAAGUGAGGAAAGAAUACUCAGCAUUGCUGGUUCAAAUCUGUUCGGAAAUUAUGAUACUGAUUUUGGAUGGGGAAGACCAAAGAAGUUUGAGAUUGUUUCCAUAGAUAGAAACAGAGCUAUCUCCCUUUCAGAUUCCAAGACUGGUGCUGGGGCUAUUGAAGUUGGGUUGGCUUUAGACAAACACGACAUGCACGUUUUUGCUUCUCUAUUUGCUAAAGGUCUUCGAAACCUUUGAAGCGCAUGAAGCCUCCGCAACAACAUUUUCUUUUUGCACUUUAUAUUUUCUGGAAUAAUAAUUUGGGAUUCGUUGGUCAAUAGUAGACCAACUUUGUAUGCUCUCGACAAUCAGCUUUGUGAUGAUGUUUUUCUUUGGACCAGGUGCAGGUGGCUCUGUCCGUCUCUUUUCCUAUGUACUGCAUCAAAUAAACUUCCUAGUGCUUUUUUUUUGGUCAACUAUAGAAGUUGACAUACUUUGUAUGCUCUCAAUAAUGACCUUUGUGAACAUGUUAUUCUUUGGACCAGUCUGUUUCUUUUCGCUGGGAAGUUUCGUCAAACACUUGGUGGGCAUAUUUGGUUCGCCCACCAAGCUUCCAAGGGGUCGCCGGAGCACCUUCCCAGCCACUUUUCCGGCCUCCAAGGGGACGGCACUGUGGGUCCGCCCAACCCUUGGCUUUUCUGUGAAUUAGAUAUGGUCAAUAGUUUCUAACUCCAAUAGUCCAAUGGCAGAGCUAAGCUCAACCUCAGUGAAACUAGUUGGGGUCUGCAGUGUAGCUCCACAACCACAACCAGAUGUUGCAGAGUUUUCUCUUCUCCUAACCUUCUUCGACCUCCUAUGGCUAAGGUUUCCACACUUCCACCGCCUUUUCUUCUACGAAAUUUUGGCUUCCUCUGCCUUAGCUGACACAAAACCCUUCUUUGAUUCUCUACUCCAUCAAAAACUCAAAGCCUCACUCUCUGUCACCCUCCAACACUUUCUACCUCUGGCAGGAAACAUCACUUGGCCCCAAGACUCCCACAAACCCGUUCUCAGUUAUGUCCAAGGCGACGCCGUUUCGCUCACCACAGCCUCUUAACAAGAAGAAGAGGAUGAGAUUUAGGGAUUUCAAUUUUCAAGAGAAAAGGAAGAGAGAGAGCAAGAAGGAAAAUAGCCUUCUAAUUCUGUAUUUCUGAUUAUGUGUAAAUGAAAUGGUAAAAACACAGCUUUAGUACAGUGCAUAUCUCCUAAUAUUACGCUAACAAACUGAACAAAUACAGCUAACUUUCACUAACAGACUUAACAGAGAGCUCGUGAGCUGCACAUGAUGACUUAACAAUUUCUUAACUAAAACACAUGGUUAACAUUUUCCCUACCCAGUUGAACUCCUCAGUCUAAGAUGAAGACAGUGUUGUAAGAAAAUGGGAUUGUGUAACCCCUUUGUAAAAACAUCUGCUAUUUAUUCUUCAGUAGAUAUAUACUGCACAAUAAGAUCCUUUCUUUGUACCUUCUCUCUCAUAAAGUGGAAGUCUAUAUCCAAAUGCUUAAUUCGAGAAUGGUAUACUGGGUUUGAGCUUAAAGCCAGUGCUGAUAAGUUGUCACAGUACAUAAUAGGAGCAUCUAGCAGAAACAUCUUCAGAUCCAAGAGAACUUGUCGAAUCCAUGACAAGUCAGCAGCUGUGUUUGCUAGGGCCCUGUAUUCUGCCUCUAUUGAACUCCUAAACACAGAACCUUGCUUUUUGGACUGCCAGGAGAUAGGAUUACAACCCAAGAAUACUACACAUCCGGUUGUAGACCUUCUAGUAUUGAGAUCCCCCGCCCAGUUUGCAUCACUGUAUGCAUUAAGCUGCCAAGGACCCUUUGUAAAACUAAUUCCAUACUCUAAUGUAACCCUUUACAUAUCUGAGAAACGCUUCACCAAAAAAUAGUGAACCUCAGUUGGAUUAUUCAUAUAUUGACACACAUGAUUCACAGCAUAAGCCAGAUCAAGUCUUGUAAAUGUUAGAUACUGUAGAACACCUAUGAGACUACGAAACAUAGUAGGAUCAGCCAAGGACUCACUGUCAGUCUGUAACACUUGAGUGUGUGGCUUACAAGGUGUUGCACAGGCUCUACAUGAACUCAUGCCGGCUUUAUGUUGUAGAUCCUUUGCAUACUUAGUUUGACUCACGAAUAUGUCACCAAAGAAAUUAUAGGAAAUCUGCAGACCUAAGAAAAAUGUGAGUUGCCCCAUAUCUUUCAUUUCAAACACCUCACUUAAGUCUGUAACCACUCUUUGAAUCAACUGAUCACUCGAACCUGUUAUAAUGAUAUUAUCAACAUAUAGGAGUAGAAUGAUAAUAUCAUUCCCAAUAUGCUGCACAAACAGACUUGGAUAUGAAUGUGAAGAUUUAAAGCCAAGAGUAGGUAAGUAACCUGUGAAUUUAGCAUUCCAUGCCCUUGGAGCAUGUUUAAGACCAUACAAAGAUUUUUUUUAGUUUACAUACAAACUGUGGAUGAGUAGAAUCUUCAAAACCAGGAGGCUGUUUCAUAAAAACUUCUUAUUCAAGAUCGCCAUGUAGGAAAGCGUUCUUGAAAUCAAGUUGUCGUAGUUUCCAUUGGUUCAUAGCAGCUAUGCUUAAUACUAACCUCACCGUUGUGUGUCUAACAACAGGACUGAAGGUUUCCCCAAAGUCAAAACUAGGCUCUUGACUGAACCCCUGAGCAACAAGUCUGGCCUUAUAUCUACCCACUGAACCAUCUGGAUUUCUCUUUAUUUUAUAAACCCACUUACUGCCAAUAAUAUUUUUAUCACCUGGACUAGGAACUAAGAUCCAUGUGUCUUACAUAUGAAGAGCAUCAAUCUCCUCUUUCAUAGCUUGCCUCCACUCAGAAGAAAAAGAAGCCACCUUAAAACUAGAAGGCUCAUCUAAUUCCGGAAUAGCAUGAAGACAGGUAAAAUAACCUUGAUAAUCUGGGAACUCUUUGUUCUGAACUAUACCGCUUUUGGACCGAGUAAUCAUGGGAUGAUCAUUGAUAGGAAUUAAACAAACCGAUGAGUCCGGAGUACUAACAGAAGAAGAGGAAACAUUGGAGACCUCAAACGGAAACAUAACCUGUAAUUGUUGUUCAUCCAACGAAGCUUGAUGUUGGAUAGGAGAUAAAGACCCAGGAGUAGAUGAGAUGGACUGGGACUGAGAAGUAGAUACUUGUGUAUCAGAGGCUAGAGACGAUGGAUCCUGAGAAUUAAGAGAAGCUUGAGAAAGCCUUGAAGGCAGAGAAACAAUGACAGGAGCCACUGAUGCAGUAGAAGAAAACAGAGAAGACUGCCAACAUAUACCAGGGUUAAUUUGCUUAAAAGGAAAUACAGCUUCAUCAUGAAGAACAUGCCUUGAGAUUACACAUUUUGUAGUAAUUCGAUUGUAGCAACUAUCUCCUUUGUAACUAGGUGAAUAUCCCAAGAACACGCACUGAGUGGUUCGCGGUUGUAACUUAUGCACAAUAAUGUCUUAGAUACGGAUAUACCACAAUACCAAAUAUUCUCAAAGAAGCAAGAUUAGGAUGAUGACUAAAUAAACGAAAAUAAGGAGACUGAUUAUGUAAAACGGAGCUGGGCAUUUGAUUGAUAAGAUACACAGCAUGAGCAGUAGAAUGAAACCAAAAUUGAGCUGGCAAGGCUGCUGUAGUUAACAGGGUAAUGGCUGUUUCAAUAAUAUGCCUAUUCUUCCACUCUGCCAGUCCAUUUUGCUGCGGAGUAUACGGGCAAGACAAACGACGCACAAUUCCCUUGGAAGCCAAAAAAUCUGUAAAAACUUUGCUAAGAAACUCACCACCACCAUCACUCUAAAAACGCUUAAUAGCAGCACUGAAUUGAUUUUGUAUCAAAGCAUGAAACUGUAGGAAUUUGGAGAAAACUUUUGAUUUAUUGAAAAGAGGAUAAACCCACAAAUAUCCAAUACAUUCAUCAAGGAAGGAAACAAAAUAUCUGUAACCCGCAAUAGAUUUGUAAUGGGAAGGGCCCCAUACGUCACUAUGAACUGUAUGAAAAGGAAUUUCAGACCUACUAUGUCUAACAGGAAAUGGAAGCCAUUGCAUCUUCCCUUGAAGACGAGUUGAACACAAGGGAUUCAAAUUGGAAGAUUAGAGGCUUUAAGCAUUGAUUGCACCACUUCAUUCGUUGGAUGGCCAAGUCUGUGAUGCCAAAUUGAAGACUUAACAUGUUGACCAAGCAAAGCUACUUUCUUGGAUAGGCAAUGAGAGGAUACAUAAGAGGGAAUAGGAUACAACCCGUUGUUACUCCGACCUUUUAGAAGGAUUGUCUUGGUGACUCGAUCCUGUAUCACAAAACCAGAAGCAUCAAAGGUGAUAACACAAUUAUUAUCUUUGCACAGCUGAUGCACAGACAAGAGAUUAGCAGAUAACUGUGGAACAUGAAAUACUGAUGGCAUUUUAAGAGAAGUAGAAGCACAUGCAAUGGCAGUAGUACCAAUGUGUUUAAUUUUCAAACCUUCUCCAUUACCAACAAUCACUUGCUCUGUAGAUUCACAAGGAGCAACAUGACUUAAGGAGGAAAUAUCAGACACCAUGUGAUGAGAAGCCCUACUAUCUGCAAUCCAGACUUGAUCAGGCAUAUAGGAAGUUUGGGCAGUCAUAGCGGAAAGGUUGGAAGGAGGAGCUUGACCCUGAUAGACAUAGUUGGAUCUAUGGAAACAAUCCAAGGCUCCAUGACCCUUCUUACCACAGAUUUGACAUUCAAUAACCUAAGAUCCAUGCCUAGAAGAGCUUACCUCAUGGAAAAAUAACAAUUAGCAUCUGUGUGACCCCGUUUGCUGCAUAUCUGACAUUCAGGAACAACUGCAUUUCUGAGAAAAAUUGGAACCAAAUCGAUUUCCUGAGAAAGAUGAAGGAGAGGCUCUGCUUUGAAAUCUGCCUCUUCCAGAACCAGAAUGAUUAGUGAAACCAGAAAAACCUCCAUGCUGACUAUUGGCAAUACCGUAAUGCUGAUGAUCGUUAAAACGACUAAAACCAUCAUUGUUACUAAGAACAGGUCUUGAACCAGAAUUGCGAUCCAAUGAAGGCAUAACAGAACGAUCAUAGGACCCCAUAUAGGCAACUGGUAAAGAAGGUGGAGUAGGCAAUAAACCCAUACCAGAAUUAGAAACGCCUAUAGCAUUCACAGAAGCAUAUAACGAAGACGACAGAGUGACGAACAUCGCAGAGUGAGGAACCAAUCGAGCUUCUGCGGUUUGCUCUGCAGCCAGCAAUUGAGCGCGAAAAUCCUUCAAAGAAAUUGGAGAAUCCCGUGCAAUCAAAAUCGUCUUGAUCACGUCAUAUUCCUGAGGGAGGCCAUUAAGAGUAGCAAUCAUAAAGUCAUCGUCAGACACCUUAACCCCCAGCUUGAACUAAUUGGUCAGGACCAUUUUCAGACGCAAGAGAAAGCGCUCGAUCGAAUCUCCACCCUUCUGGGCCAUAUGUAAUUCAGUCUUCAAAUGAUUGAUUCGUUUCCUAAAAAUCGAUGCAUAACGAUCGGAAAGACUUAACCAGGCGUCACGAGCAGUCUUGGUGCCAAUAACAUACUCUAUGGCCUCAUCAGAGAGAGUGGCAAUGAGCAAACUGAGUAAAGCCUUAUCAGUACAAAUCCAUUCCUUGUAAGCAGCAGUAACUUCAGAUGUAACACCCUCCUCAUCAACAAUAGCAAAGCGAGGAGGAGCAACUUCAGUUCCGUCAAAAUGCCCAAACAAAUCAUAACCCUGAAGAAUGGAUUCCAAUUGAAAACCCCACUUGAGAAAAUUAUCGUCUUUGAGAAGAAGAGUAAUCAUCCCAAGAAAACCGUCAAUUUUGACCGAAGAGGAAGAAGAAGAAGUCGCCAUUGAUGAACAGAAAAGAUAGAAAAGAGGAAAGAACAAUAGAGACAGAGCAAGAGAAUAGCACAGCGAAGAGACAGUUCAGAAAAAUCGGUAGAGGAUUGAAAGUGUCAAGCCACGAUGGGCUCUGAAACCAUCUUACAAGAAGAAGAGGAUGAGAUUUAGGGAUUUCAAGAGAAGAAGGAAGAGAGAAAGCAAGAAGGAAAAUAGCCUUGUAAUUCUGUAUUUUUGAUUAUGUGUAAAUGAAAUGGUAAAAGCACAGCUUUAGUACAUUGCACAUCUCCUAAUAUUACGCUAACAAACUUAACAAAUACAGCUAACUCUCACUAACAGACUUAACAGAGAGCACAUGAGCUGCACAUGAUGACUUAACAAUUUCUUAACUAAAAGACGUGGUUAACACAGCCCAGUCUGAUGCUGAUUUCCACCGUCUUUCAAGCAACGACUUCAACAUUGAAGCCAAAGAAUACCAUCCUCUUGUACUCCAAUUGGCAAUAUCUCGUGAAAAAGCUGCUGUGAUGGCUUGUCAAAUCACUCUCUUUCCCAACAGCAGCGGCUUCUCCAUUGGAAUUUCCAUGCACCAUGCAUCUCUUGAUGCAAAACUUUGUUCAUGUUUCUGAAAUCAUGGGCCCACUUAUGCAAACAUGAACCUGAUACUUUGUUGCAUGAUCAGCUGAAACCAUUUUAUGACAGAAGGGUCUUCAUCCAGGACCCAGCUGUGCUCGAGCUCGAAGCAAUCUACUUGAACCAGUUUCUGAAUAUGGACCAACGACCCAACAACCGAAGCUUGAUGGUUGCCACCCGUUAUAAAUCUCUAACGCUACGGGAUUCGAUUCGAGGCACGUUUGAAUUCACUAGCACAAAAAUGGAAGCACUAAGGCAAUCUGUCAUGAUCAAGAAACAACAACAAUAUCAUCAAUCUGUUCUAAAUUUGUCAACGUUUUGUCUAACAUGUGCCUACACAUGGGUUUGCUUAGUCAAAGCAGAAGAAGAAGAAGAAGAAAAAGAAGAAAUAAAAGACGACCAAAUACUUAUGGUGCUUAGCGUGGACUGUCGGUCUCGCUUGGACCCUCCUAUACCAAGCAAACGGGAGCAUGUAGGAGCAAAUUUUCCCAAAAGAAUAUUCGAUUGGUAGAUUCCCUUUUCUUCUUCGCCACUUCUUUCUCUCUGCAAAAUAGAACCAAUAAGAGGACCACACCCGGGGAGUGUUGGCCAAAGGCCCUCCGAUGCCUAAAUUAGUUCAAUUGAAUUGUAUAGAAAACAAUAGCUAAUAGGGUACGGAGAUAUGUUUAUGGUGUAAAUCGAGCGGGCGGAGCCAUAUGUGAAAGAGAAAGAGAGAGAAGGUGGCUAGGGUUUGAGAGGAAUUUUCUUCAGAGUUUUUAGUAGAGAUUUCAGACGUACCUCAACCCUUAUGUGUGGCCAUCCUUUUAUAGUGGUCUCGGAGGCUAGGGUUUCAAAGGAAUAAUUCUGUAGAUGAAAAGGAAUUAUUCCUCCCCGAUUUGGAAUUGAUUUGAUUAAUUAGGGAUUUGAUUAAUUAGGGUAAAUCAAAUCCCUAUCAAAUCCCCAAUUGUGGUAGGAAUCAAAUAAAUUCCUAACUUAAUUAGGUAACUCCUCAUUUAAUUGGGAAUUGUGGUAGGAAUUAAAUCAAUUCUCAACCUAAUUAGGUAACAUUUCAUUUAUUUGGGUAAUCUCCAAUUAAAUUGAGUAACUCCCAAUUAGGUUGAAUAAUUCCCAAUUAGGUCGAAUAAUCCCCAAAUGGAAGAAAUUAUUUGACCUAGGGUUCUAAUUUAAUUCGGUUCCCACAGAACAUUUGUAGAAAGAAAAGGACUUUUGGGAGAAGAUGGGUUCUCUGUGGCUGUAAAUGAGAUCAGUGAAGCCCUAAAAGGUUUGGAUAACGGGGUCUUGAAUGGGGCAGAGAACUUAGUUUCAAGUUUGUACCUUUCUGAAUCUGAUCUUCAGGCUACUACUGAUCAUUCCAGAGUGUUUACCACUGCUGGAUCACAUCAGUUUAAGAUGCACGAUACUGAUUUCGGGUGGGGAAGACCAAAGAGUACCGAAGUGGUUCCUAUAGGUAGAAGAGAAGCCAUCACUUUUUCAGAUGGCAAGAAUGGAGGUGGAGUUGUUGACAUUGGCUUGGUUCUGAAGAAACAUCACAUGGAGGUUUUUGCUUCUCUAUUUCCUAAGAAAGCAGAGAAUAAUUUGCCUGCAUCGGCUCCACCUGCUUCUGUGCCUGAAGCAUCAGCGCCAACUAGCACUAGUACCCCAGGGAGUAAUGAUACUAAUGAGGAAGGUAUGCUAGGCUUUUCUGAAUUUUCUCCCUUUUUAUUCUCUUUAUAUUUGCAAGUUUCCAUUUGAAAAUCUUCAUAUAACUGAAAUAUAAUUUGUAAAUGUGCAUUUAUCUGAAUUCAGUCAUCAAAUUGCUUUUCUAUAAUGACGAAAUUGCAUUUAUUGUAGUUGAGGGUUUUUCUGUUUACGUAAGGAAUUUGCCCUUAAAUGUGACGGCUGAUCAGCUUGAGGAAGAAUUCAAGAAAUUUGGACCAAUAAAGCAAGGAGGUAUCCAAGUUCGAAAUACGAAGGUUAGUCUCUAAUGUGAGAUGUCUUCCGUGCCAGAAGUGUCUCCUGCUCAGAUAUAGAUUUUCCGACAUAUUUGUGUGUGCAGCUGCAGGGAUACUAUUUUGGAUUUGUUGAGUUUCUGUUUGCAAGUUCCACGAAUGUCCCGUUUGGUUCACGGAAUGAAUUUGAGGGGAAAUCAUUUUCCAAGUAAUGGGAAAUGGAAGAUUCAUUUCCCAAAUUUGGUAAUGCUGGGAAAGUAACCGAGAGAUAUUGUUUUAUUUCCUUUCCCAUGUAUAAAUUUUCAAUUAUACCCAUAUUAAAAAAACAAUGCAUUUAAUGAUUUAUUGUAAUUCUAAAUUGUUAAUGGGGACAAAAUUGUCAUGAAAAAUAUUUAUUUGAUAUUAGCUCAUUUUCCCAAACUUUCCCAUGAUGAGGGAAAACAAAACCCAAGUUUGGAGAAUGGCUUCACUUUCCCCAUACUUUCUCAUGGGUCAGGAAACGAUUUCUCAUGCCUGGACUUACCAAAUAUGGAAAAGCAAUUGAUUUCUCAUUCCCAAGUCUCCUUUCCCAUGAACCAAACGGGGCCUAGUGCCAUUCAGGUAGGUGUUUAAAUUCUAUUUCCUAUGUUCUGUAUUCAAGUUCCAUGACUAGUGCCAUUCAUGAAUAGUGAUAUAGGAUGCGGAUUCCCCUCAACAAGUUACAGCAGUUAACCUAAUUUGACAAAAAUUGGAGAUUGGACUUGAACUGUUUAAAUUGAAAACCACCAGGGCAAAAAUGAUCAAAUUGAAACCACAGGGAUCUUAGUGAUAAAAGCGGUAAACCACAUGACCAAAAGUUACGUUUUGCCAACUUUCAUUUAUGGUUGUUCAUAUGCAUCUCAUUCUAUAGGAAGUGCAAUGAAGAUAUUUACUCUUUAAGAUAUCCUUACUUCUUAAGCUAUUCUUCUUAGAACCUUACGAAAGUAAGUCAGUCAUUCAUAUGAGUAAUCAAGUCUAUAAUUUGAACACAACAGGAAGUCAAAUUCAUUAGGGUUUAGGGUUGGUUUGGUGAUAAGUAGUAAACGUACGGCGUUGGACGAAUUGAAAACCAAUCCAAUGGUGACAUUUACCUAUAUGUACUAACACCUAGUACAUAAGCCUUCGGAAUGAAUUGAUUACCAAUCCAGUGGUGACAUUUACCGGUACGGUGAUCCCCCACUUUUAAAACUUGAAAAUGAUGAUAUACCAAACCAAGUGUGGUUUUGUGGCUUCUAUUGUGUGGCGUGGCCUGAUAUCAGCCCCAUUUUGUAUUUCACCAAAUACACGUCCUUUUGCUCUUAACGAGAGAGAAUAAAUUCUCCUUUUUCGUAUGCUUCUACGGUGCUGCAGUGCAUACAACAACUGCACUUCUUGUUGUUUUGAUCAUUCGGUGUUUGCCUUAUAUUUGUCUCCAUUUCCUAUUGGGUGUGCUAGCAACUUUGUGAAUGACAAGAAGAGUUCGUAAGUUUCUCUUCUAUUUUUGCUGUUUCCUCUUUUUAUUGGCUCAAAUGUUUGAGAGUGUAUUGGGUGUAUUGGCUCAAAUCAUAGGCUACGAAUUCGAACUAGUAUAAAUCAUGUGUAUUAUUGGUUUAUUUAUAUUUGUCAAAUUUUGCAUCUGCUUGAUAUACUACGCCUCCGUACAACACUAAGCACUUGGACAGAUUCCACCUGACCUGUCUAGUAGUAGUGAUAAAAAGAGGGCAAAAGGAUCCAUCUCCAUUUAGCAAUGGCAGAACCAACAAGCUCGGUUACAGUAGUUGAAGUUUGCAGGGUGGCUCCUCCUCCCCCACCCUCACCCGGUGCAUUCGCGUCCCCGAGCUCCCUUCCCCUUACCUUCUUCGACAUCCGUUGGUUAAGGUUUCCGCCGGUCCAGAGCCUUUAUUUCUACGAAAUGCCUACUUCCUCUGCAACACCACUCUUCUUUGACUCCAUACUUGUCCCAAAACUCAAAGCCUCACUCUCUUACACCCUCCAGCACUUUCUACCUCUGGCAGGAAACCUCACUUGGCCUGAAGACUCCCAAAAACCCGUCCUUAACUAUGUCCAAGGCGACACUGUUUCGCUCACAAUAGCAGAGUCUGGUGCUGACUUCUACCAUCUUUCAAGUGGUGACUUCGUUGAAGCCACAGAGUACCAUCCUCUUGUACCCCGAUUGGAAACGUCUCAUGAACAAGCUGCAGUGCUGGCAUUGCAAAUCACUGUGUUUCCCAACUGUGGCUUUUCGAUUGGAACUUCCAUGCACCAUGCAGUCCUAGAUGGCAAGAGUUCAACUUUAUUUGUAAAAUCAUGGGCUCACAUUUGCAAACAUGAUGAUCAAUCUAAUUCAGUGCUACCUGAUGAGCUGAAACAAUUUUAUGACAGAGUCAUUCAGGAUCCAGCUGAGCUUGGAACAAUCUACUCCAACGACUAUCAAAAUAAGGACGGUCCCAACAAUAGGAGCUUAAUAUUUUGGGAGAUGAAACCACCACCAGACUCAAUCCGAGGCACCUUUGAAUUCACACGAGCAGAUAUAGAAACACUGAGGCAAUCGUUCAAGGCUAAAAUGGCAGAGCAGAAACCAGUUCAUGUGUCAACUUUCACUCUAGCUUGUGCCUAUACAUGGGUUUGUGUAGUCAAGGCAGAGGACAUAAAAGC
rnacentral:lncRNA from 1 species